rnacentral:lncRNA from 1 species
GAUGCAGCCAGCCCUGGGAGCACAGGUGGAAGCAAUUCAACCUCGUGACUGGAAGGGGUGGACCCUGUCUCCAUCCCCUCCUAACCUCAUUUAAGAGCUGGCAGCCACAAGGAAAGGAUGCUUCUGUGGAAAUCCCUCCUUUUGGAGUGUUUAGUGAGCCCUGAUCAUUGGAUGGGUGACCACAAGUCUUCUGCAAGUGCUGAAAAGCAGUUUGCUGCCCCUGCAUCACCAGCUGUGCAGACACGUUUAGUACCUGUGCUCGACGGACGGUGAGCAGCCACCUUGUGCUGAGUGGUACCUGGGGGGGAGACUGAGCAUGCAGCCUCUGCUAGGUGCCAUGCAUGCCUUAUUCUGAUGUAUACAAAGGCUGAUAGGAUCCGGCCCAAAGAUGUAGGUGGGAGAAUCAUUACAAGAAGAUAUGCUGGGCUCUGCUUUAGAAGCUGGGAUGUAUGCUGGAGUUCUUCCUUCUGACCUGGAGCUGCCUUGCAAGCUACCAUUGCUCUGACUUCCUCAAUGGAACCUCAUGGGUGGUGAAGUGAGUUGAGAAAAUCCAAACCAAAACUGCUUAAAGAUGCCUCUUCUGCCCUGCCUCGUGUUGGAAGAACUCCUCGUAUCUGUGCCUGCCUCUUCUCCAUGGUGGUUUUAACACCAGGACUGCCACACCGCUCUGGCUGAGGCAACAAGGAAGGCCACAGCCUAACUGUAUUUUAAAUAACCACGUAAUGCUUCAGUAUCUCAACUACUUCUUGUGAAGCAGCUUCUAUCAUAUCUGAAAGAUGAGUUAUAAUUUGGAGAUUGGCCUUGGUGAUCUCCAGAGGUCCCUUUCAACCCUUAUGGUUCUGUGAUUAUCAGUCGUGGUGAUAUGCUGAUUCAAGCUGUACAGGAGAAACCAACAACUCAACUCUGUAUUGUGAUGAGACUCUCAGUGCUGUAUGGACAGAAUGGGGAAGCAUUCAAGCGCGUUUCCUUUCUCAGCACGUGGGAUACAGGAGGGCAGCAAAGCAUCACCUGUGAUGAACCACUCAUGUAUCCUUCUUGUAUCUGCAGGUCAGCUGCUGUUUAUGUUCGUUAGUAAAUUAUGUGCCAACCUCAUCACGUCACCCUGCAAUCACAGUGCUGUGUUCCAUGUGUCCAACCUCCAUACAUUUGUGUUUAUAUUGAGCUAUUGCAUCCUGCUCAGGGGUGAGGGCACCUCUCUGCUGCUGCACAAAUUGGAGAACUUCUGCUUCACCAAAGCUCAUAAUGCCUUCAAGGCAUCGGUUCCUCUCAUAGCAUUUCCCAAUCAAAGUAUUAAAAUGAGAGUUUUAUAUCCAGCCAAUACUCUUCUCAUAGCUGAUAAAGGCAAAUGAGGAAUCAUUUAUAUGAUUUAGGUUAUGAGAAGAGUAUAGGAAGAGAAUAUAAGCAAAGCAUUUAUUUCCCACCUGUAUAGAAAUGAAGCUGCUGUUUCUAAUAAAUCCUACUUGAAAAGAUGGCACUGUUAUGAAAGAACGGAGAGAGAGACCUGAGGCUUUACCUUCGUGCUGCUCCAGCCCCCAGGAGUUCAAGUGGGUUUUCUCUUUCCCAGCCCUUGAAUCAGCAGGCAGAAACUGUGGGUGCUGGCUGAAAGGGGGAGGAUGCUCUGAAGUGAGAUGUAGCUGCACCACAGCCUGGAGGCAGAAGGAGGGCUGUGUGUGCUCAGGGCUGCUGGGGGGGGAGGGUGGUUCGGAAAGCAAAACGAUCCUAUUCAACAAUAGAGGAGAAAUUAGGAGCUUGAAAAUAGCAGCAAAUUGGAAUGAAAAGAAUGCCAAUUACCAACUUUGAUCCCUCUUUUCUUUAUUUUUGUUUGAAAGAAAUAUUUUGUGAUAGGCACAUCUUGAAGUUUUCCACUUUUCUUUUGUUUUAAGCAGUGGGAGAUUUGGUAAACCUGUCCUUUAUCCUGCAAAUUCCCACCCUGAACCCUUUGUCCUAAAACUUCUGACUAAUUUCUAGGUAUUUUGAAUACUUAAGUUUGAGAAGACGUGGGAACUGACGACUUCUGUCCUCCGAGGAGAUGGCAUGAAUUACUGCAAUUGGAAAAUAAUUAAGAAGCAAUUACAGAAGCAAACAGAAAUCCUGUGCGUACAGCCAGGCCAUUAAAAUAUGUUCUCUAAGAAAUUACCACAACCACGCUGGAAAGAAAAGCGACAUUUAAAUAAAGUUAUGGUUAUAACAAACUAAAAAGGAAGAAAAAAACCAAAGCAAUUCGUCCUGGAAAAAGUAAGUACUCAUCUGCCCCCCCCCACACUGUCAAUCUAUGCUGGUUUCUCUUUCCUUAAUUUUCUUAUGCAGAGUAAUAGUUGUACAUUUUGCACUCCUUUUUCUUACUUUGUUUUUCAGCAAGCAUUGGCUGCUCUGUGACUGUGCUGCAAACGGGAGUGUGUGCAAGUGGGACACGAGGGGAGAACAGCUUCAUGCCUCCCUUCUCCAGCAAGCAGGUAACUGUGCAUUGAAGUACGCCGGUAUUCUGCUGUUGUGCUGGGAGUGCCUCCUGCUCCACGUAUGGCAGAAUGAGACCCAUUGCUCACCACCCCACACGGCAUAUCGCUGCAUCGAUCAAACGCUGCUGCAAUAAAAGUCAGGCCCUAUCCAUGUGCCAAUACGGAGGGAUGUUUCUGAUUAUAAAUUCUCUAUGCAGAGUGCUGGCUAGCUCAUUGAAAAGGCAGAAAUCAAUGACAUUAGCACUCAUAAACCACAUGCAUUGUGACUGCUUCUCAGAACAGCCCUAAUUGGCAUAUGUCUGUCUUAUUGGCCUGCCUCAUAACAAUGCCCCAAAUGAUUCAUGAGACCAAAUAAGAAACAGGUGCAACCAAAACAGCACUCUGUGCCAAAAAUUCAUCUCUUAUGUAAGGAGAGGGGCCAAGGGCAUGGCUCAAACUGCUCCUUAUCGACUCCAGGAUGUGACUUCAACUCCCUGAAAGAAGCAUGUAGUGAAGUGGGGGUUGGACUCUGCCCCAGCAAUAAGAUGAGAGGGGAAUGGCCUCAGACUGUACAGGGAGGGUCAGGUUGGCUCUCAGAGCAAUGUCUGCUCCAGAGAGCAGCCAGGCACUGGCACAGCUGCCCAGGGGUGGGCAGUCCCCGUCCAUGGAGGUGUUCAGAGCCGCGGGGAUGUGGCACUGAGGGGUGGGCAGUGGGCACGGGGGGGGGGUGGGGGUCACAGAGGGCUUUUCCAGCCUGAAUGGUUCUGUGAUUCUAAUAAUGAGCUAUACAAAUCAUCCCAAGGGUGAACCUGCUGUCUAGUCACUGAAAUCUAUUGAGUGGGUAUUUGGGUUGCUUUUUUUAGGGUUAAUUUAUUUAAACCUGCAUGGGGUUGGAUUGAGGGGAAAAAAAGGAAAUCGAGCUGAUUACAGACUUUGUUUCUCAGUAAGAUAACUGAAACACUGGUCUAUCUGCUAUUUAUUAUACAAAAUGGGCAUCUUGUGAUUUGCUUCAAAUGAAAAAGGGACUUGAAUGGCAUGGCCAGUGGUCACGGGCCAUGAAGAGGGGAUGAUGGCACUGCACUGUGAGCCACCACAGCCCUGCAUCAUUCCAGCAAGUCACAGAUAAAAGCUUAAACGCUUGCCCCCCACUCUUUGCCAUGUGGUCCAUUAAGUUAGCUGCAGGCAAAGGGCAUAUUUGUCAAAUGCACAUUGUGCUGACUCAGCAUUCUGGUUAUCUGUUGGGCAUUCAAUUUCACCCUGGUGCAAAGCCUUUUUAGUUUCCCUUGGCGAAUAAAUUACAAAUGCUAAUUUCUGCUCAGUUGAAGAGAAGAUUAAGGCAGUGUAACAGACAGGCAUGCCAAAAUAUUUAUUGAAUAAGUUGCAAAAGCGAAACAAAAAGGCUGUGUAUUUCAAACUGAGUGCUGAGCAGGGCUCCAAGCUGAAUUUAAGAGCAGCUCCUUUAUUCACCCAGAAUCCAAUUUAGUGCGAGUAUAUUAUAUCCAGCAUCUGUAUGCUGAAAUCCACUGCUGAAUAAGCUUCUAAAAUUCUAUUUUCUGCAGUUUCAGUGCAUACUUGCACAUAUGUUUCUUAGUAAAUCACAGUAAUGACCCUAAUUCCAUGAGGAGGACCUAAAGCAAAUGCUGCCCCUGGGCUGCUACUCACCCAUCCACAACUGCUCUACGAGGUUAGCACUUGUUUUCUUCUCUAUUUCCAUCCAGACUGCUGUAACUGAAUGGGGAGAACAAUCUGAGAACUGUUAGAGAAGUAUUUGGGAUGUAACAGCUGCAUUAAUACCUAUUUGGGGUCACAGUUAGAGAAACGUGCGGUUCUUUCAGUUCACACAGACGUGGUGGGAUUUCUGUUAGGCAGCCACAGAGAAUUAAAAGCUCACUUUGAAAAGCCCUGGAUGGGGCUGAGUGACAAAUUGAGCUGCUUGUAGAGUCACCUGUAUUUUUAUAUGCGCACAGGAAAGGCAGAUUUUGUUCUGUUUCUGACAAGCAGUUACUGUAGCACCCUUUCAGUUUUGCAGGCAUUAGAGACUUCAGUUUGCUGCACAAAAUAAUGAGUUACGCUGUGUCUGCAUUAAACAACAGAGAUACAUGUCAGCAUUUCCAUGUCAUCCUUCUGUCACAGUAAAUGAAUGACAGUACAACAUAUGGGCUCAUUAGGUAACAUCCAACAGGUUAAUAGCCAUCGAUGUGUUGGAUUUCAGUUAUGCGUGUGUAAGUGUUUUUAGAUAUGCCAGCAAAUGAAGCCGGAGGGAAGAAAAUUUCACGAAAGCCAAAAUAAUUUGAGAGAGCAUUUGCAAAAAUGAAGUGCUGAAUUUAACCAUUUCAGUGCAUGUUGAGCUGCAAGCAGUAGGAACAGCCUCGUGCAGUUCUCAUUUUCAAUACGAUCUGCUCAAAGAAGUUCAAGUGGAUAAUAAAUACACUUCAACAAAUAAAGAUCUGUUUGAAGAGAGCUUCUGGGAUUGUGGGAAUAAAAGCCUGAGGGUAACUUCAGUCCGAUCACUGCUAAAAUCCAGACUGUAACAUUGAGGUGAUAAACAAAUGAGACUUAAGGAGCCACAGGCCUUGGGAUUAAGAGUCAGAAUAAGAACAUGAGGUACAUUUACUUCAUUGUGCAAUGUAAAUAACCCAUUUAAAAAUUAACGUUGUUGCACUGACAAUGCAUUGCUAGAUAGGAGAACACAUGCAGUCAUUGUUCUCCCCGCCUCUUUUAUUUUACUUAUACUAACCCCUUGGAGCAGCCGGCUGCUCAGCCGUGAUAGCGAUGCUCACAACCUCCUUCCUUCCCAGAAGUCUCCACAGUCUCCAGGAUCUUGCUCCAGUGACAUCCACUGCCAAUGUUUCUCCACUUAGAAUACGUCCUGGCAUCCUUGUGAUUAUCUUCUGCUGUGCUCUGUUCAGUGGAUAAACCGGAGGCAGUUACUGACAUAUAAAACUCUCAGUGGUCAGAGCCACCAAAGCUCUGUAGGUGGAUGUGAGUCUGUGAGACUGGCUUUGUAAACUUGGGUUGUGUGUAAAGGGGAGAUGUGUCUUCAGUGUCUUGCAACACCAAUGAUUGCUAAAACCAACAUGAAGCCCGAACUGCCCCAUGCAGCGUUUGCUCUCAGCCCCUGGAAUUAGUCUUGAAUUCUCAUGAUAGAAGGAUGUGCUCAUAAUUCAGAAAGUAAACAUACACAGCUACCUCUGUGCCUUUAUGGGGAGGGUGACAGAGCACUGGAACAGGCUCCCCAGGGAGGUGGUGGAGUCUCUUUGUAUGGAGAUAUUCAAGACCUGUCUGGACACCUACAUGUAUGACCUAUUAUAGGGUACCUACUCUAGCAGGGGGUUAGACUUGAUCUUUUGAGGUCCCUUCCAACCCCUGUGGUUCUGUGACUGUGUUUCUGUAAUACACACAAGCAACACCUACAGUAUACGUAGCUUGAUGUACAUAGUCUUAUAUGUAAAUGUUUAUAUAACCACGAUUUAAAGUCUGAUCAUAUUUCCACCAGCUUUCUCUCUUGAUCCUGAUGCAAUGCACUGUAGCAUGUCCUGGCUGUCUGUACCAUACCCUUUGGCCUGAUAUCUGUGGCUACAUACCUAUAGCGGCUAUCAAAGAGGGGGUGGGGGAUCCUGCUUUGCCACAGGGACAUGAUUAAGAUCCCCUUAGCACAUUGACCAUGACAUCUGCAGGUCAUGCACCUAUUGCUGGGGGGACUACCAAUCCUCCAACCUCCAAUCAUCUCCCCUAGGUGCAAGUAGGCCACACCACAUUGGUCCUACUUGCACUUUCCAAGGCCAUUCUAUUUUAUGGGUACCAGGUUCUAGGUUUUCAGGGGCAGGGAGCAGAAGAUUAUUUUAAUUGCCAGUUUGGGGUCUUACCUGAUUAUCGGUGCCCAUAAUUUGGAUCCUUAGCAGGGAAGCCCAUGUUGCCUGCAGCAUCUUUAGGGCAUUGGGUCUGCCAUCUCUAGGCCUUUCAUUCAGGUUCUGCAGGGCUUCAUAGAGUCUUUGUCCACCCCUGCAGGGACUGAGAGUCUGUCUUCAGGGCAGUCUUCAGAAUACCAUUAUAGCAUUCAAUAAGGCCUGUCCCCACCAGAUUGUAUGGCAGAUGGAAUCACCACUCAAUGUUGUUUUCUUCUGUCCAGCACUGUACCACUGCACCAGUGAAAUAAGUCAUCGAGAGUGACCAAGGGACUCGAAGUGUUCCGUAGGCAGCCAUCAUCUUGCUGCUUGCAGAGUGUGCAGGAGACUGCAUAUGAGCCCAGCAUCAGUCCUGCAGGAGUCAGCAGCCAGGCACAGACUGGCUCCUGGUGCUGCCUGAUGGAGAGUGGCCGCUGGGUGGAAGGAGCUGCUGUUCCCUCCUUUGGACCCAGAGUAACUUUUAAAUCAUUCUGGGAAGAAAGGAAUGGCAUAUUUGGUGUCUCAGAUGUUCCUUGAGCAGUACGACCUGCACAGAAGUGACGUAUAGUGGACACAAAACAGCUCCUCAAUUAGGGAGACGUAGGGGCAGAAUCACAUCUCCCCAGCAGAACUCAAGAAGCCCUUCUUAGCACUACCACUGCGCAACCGAAGGUAUUUGAUCUGAAGUAUGAAGAAUGAUUUAAUCAGACAGAUUAACCUACCUGGUGCAUCUGAAACACUUCCAUUCCAUCGAAGUCCAUCAACAACAUAGGCUUUAAGUGGAGUUUUAAAAAGUUUAUGAGAAGAAUAUGGAAGGAAUAAGGAGAGUGACAAUUCAGCACGUUUUAGCUCACGUGCUUCUGCAGCAGAAGGUACAGCACUGGGAAUGGGGGCACUGCUGUGACUGACCCCACCACAGGACCUGGCCACCCCAGAGCAUAUUUUCAAGGACUAAUUUCAAGUGUAUACGUUAUAAAUCUGCAAACUAUCUCUGUGAGCCGUGCAUGCUUUACAUCCCUUCAAUCCCAUUGCCUAAUAUUAGUGAAAGUGACAAGACAUUAACUGCAUAUUAAUUGAAUUUUUCACGGAUGAUUAAAAUACAGAAACUGUGCAACAGAUUUCUCCUUUGAGGUGUAAUAAAAGUGAAGGGGAAAUGAAUAAAUUGCCUAUUUUAGAGAUUUUAUAUAUAGUGCAAAUAGACAUUUUCCUUUUAGACAUCUCACCAGGAAGAAAGCAUUUGUUGCAGGGAGCAAGAAGAUGUACUGCUGUCUGAGUGUGACACUCAGCAUGCAGUGACACGAGCAGACUCUGGUCCCAGGCAGGAGCACAGCCCAUGGGUUUCCAGGGGGCAGGAGCAGGUACUGAGCACAGGAAUCACUGCUCCCAGCAAUGCAGAGUCACUGAAGUCAGGUAACAUCCUCCGUCCUUAAAAAAGAAGUUGUGGAUGCCCCAUCCCUGCAGGCAUUCAAGGCCAGGCUGGAUGUGGCUCUGGGCAGCCUGGUCUGCUGGUUGGCGACCCUGCACAUAGCAGGGGGUUGGAACUGGAUGAGCAUUGUGGUCCUUUGCAACCCAGGACAUUAUGCGAUUCUACGAUUCUAUGAAAAGAAAAUACCUUCCUUGGGUGACGUGCCAUGAUUAGCCUGAGCAGCAGAGGAGCAAUGCAUUUUGCUGUCUUUAGCUAUUUCUCUAGCGUUAUGCAAUGGGAGAAAUAAAGUUGGAAGCCAUGCGGAGCAGCACUGCUCUGACCCUUUGCAGACUCCGGACGAGCAGAGCAGGACCUGUGAGGACAUUUCUUUUUGUACCCUCACCGCACACAGCUUGCUGUGCUGCAGCUGUCACAGCUCACAUGUUGCAAACCUUCUUAAUGCCAGGAGAGAGCCCGUAGGCGCUGUAGGAGCUGGCUCUGCAUGUGGCCUUGCUCUGUUGCAUCCAUGUUUGCAGAGAGCCAUCCAGCCUGGUGACCCAGCCGUAAUUUG